rnacentral:rRNA from 1 species
CCCUUAGAUGUUCUGGGCCGCACGCGCGCUACACUGAUGCAUUCAACGAGCCUAUCCUUGACCAACAGGUCCGGGUAAUCUUUGAAUCUGCAUCGUGACGGGGAUAGAUUAUUGCAAUUAUUAAUCUUCAACGAGGAAUGCCUAGUAGGCGCAAGUCAUCAGCUUGCGUCGAUUACGUCCCUGCCCUUUGUACACACCGCCCGUCGCUCCUACCGAUUGGGUGUGCUGGUGAAAUGUUCGGAUCGGCCGUUUGUCGCGGUUUCCGCGUCAUGUGGCUGAGAAGUUCAUUAAACCCUCCCACCUAGAGGAAGGAGAAGUCGUAACA